rnacentral:rRNA from 1 species
GACGAACGCUGGCGGCGUGCUUAACACAUGCAAGUCGAACGGAAAGGCCCUGCUUUUGUGCGGUGCUCGAGUGGCGAACGGGUGAGUAACACGUGAGUAACCUGCCCUUGACUUUGGGAUAACUUCAGGAAACUGGGGCUAAUACCGGAUAGGAGCUCCUGCUGCAUGGUGGGGGUUGGAAAGUUUCGGCGGUUGGGGAUGGACUCGCGGCUUAUCAGCUUGUUGGUGGGGUAGUGGCUUACCAAGGCUUUGACGGGUAGCCGGCCUGAGAGGGUGACCGGCCACAUUGGGACUGAGAUACGGCCCAGACUCCUACGGGAGGCAGCAGGGGGGAAUAUUGCACAAUGGGCGGAAGCCUGAUGCAGCAACGCCGCGUGCGGGAUGACGGCCUUCGGGUUGUAAACCGCUUUCGCCUGUGACGAAGCGUGAGUGACGGUAAUGGGUAAAGAAGCACCGGCUAACUACGUG